UAUCUGAGGAAAUGAAGUAACUUUACAAUGUGCUCUCCUUGGACAUCACCUUUGCUGUCAUAUUGUCUCAGGACUGUGCUCCUGCCAUGGUGAGUGAGCACCUUCCGGAGCAGCACCUGCCAAGAAACAACUGUUUUUGGAGAUCUCAAUGUGACAUCCUAGGAAACAGAUGAGCUGAAGAAAUACUGUCAUUUAAUCUGGGAGGUCAAAUUCAAGCUGUUGUGUGUAUUGCUUCUCUUGGCACUUCCUUUUUUUAAUCAUCUCUGGCACUGCCUGCCUCCUGUUCCAUGCUGCUACCAGAAAUAGCCCACUCAACAGCUGGUCUCUAAGGAAGAAGGCUGCUGAUGAUCUUGCAAUGUGACAUCUAUCCUGCAGGACCAGAUUGAACCUGUGUGCAUUUCUCCUUGCUGCCAAUUGAACUAAAGUGCGUGCUUUGAACAGCCAGGAGCAUGCAGUCCAAAGAAAAAAAAUCUCACCAACGUAUUCUCCAUAAGAGAACUCAGCAAUGCCAGACGGCAAGCACCUCAGCCCUAUGGUGGGGAGCCACCUUAGACAUUGAAAUCACUAACAAAGGCUCAAAAAUGCAACAAUAAAACACCAAAGAAACCACAAAAAGAACACCUGUUUACAGUCUGAGAACUGGUACAGGAAAGCAGAGCUUUACCUUGUUCACCCUCAGCUGUGAACAUGCAUAUAAGAAGAAUCAAGGUUUUUGCCUCUCUGUGCAUGUCCUCACAGAGCUCUCUGACUUUGAACCUAGUGAUCUUUCUGCUCCUCUACGCUGCUCAACUUUAGUAAUGAAGUCAACCUAGUAUGUAUUAUAUGGCAGGAUUACUUGUAAAGUCAAAGAAAUUGUCA